UGGGGAAUAUUGCACAAUGGGCGCAAGCCUGAUGCAGCCAUGCCGCGUGUAUGAAGAAGGCCUUCGGGUUGUAAAGUACUUUCAGUCGGGAGGAAGGUGUCAAGGUUAAUAACCUUGGCAAUUGACGUUACCGACAGAAGAAGCACCGGCUAACUCCGUGCCAGCAGCCGCGGUAAUACGGAGGGUGCAAGCGUUAAUCGGAAUUACUGGGCGUAAAGCGCACGCAGGCGGUUGAUUGAGUCAGAUGUGAAAUCCCCGGGCUUAACCCGGGAAUUGCAUCUGAUACUGGUCAGCUAGAGUCUUGUAGAGGGGGGUAGAAUUCCAUGUGUAGCGGUGAAAUGCGUAGAGAUGUGGAGGAAUACCGGUGGCGAAGGCGGCCCCAUGGACAAAGACUGACGCUCAGGUGCGAAAGCGUGGGGAGCAAACAGG
rnacentral:rRNA from 1 species